rnacentral:rRNA from 1 species
UAGGGAAUAUUAGUUAAUGUGCGAAAGCGCGAACUAGCAACGCCGCGUGUGCGAUGAAGGUCUUCGGAUCGUAAAGCACUUUUCGAGCAGAUGAGGAAGGACAGUACUCUCGGCAUAAGUCUCGGGUAACUACGUGCCAGCAGCCGCGGUAAAACGUAGGAGGCAAGCGUUAUCCGGAUUUACUGGGCGUAAAGCGUGUGCUGGCGGUUUGGUAAGUUGGAUGUGAGAGCUCCCGGCUCAACUGGGAGAAGUCGUCCAAAACUACGAGACUUUAGGGCGGUAGAGAGAAGUGGAAUUCCGUGAGUAGUGGUGAAAUGCGUAGAUAUACGGAGGAACAACAGUGGCGAA